GGACGCCCGGGUGACAGUCGCUGAAGACGAACCUCGACGGGCUGCAGGAGCGACAGAUGGUGAUACCCGUCAAUCCCACGCCGCUGCCCAGCUCCAGAACCGUCCUGCACACAGGAAGAGCAGCCAUGUUUUUUACCGAGCACCAGGGGGCACUGCAGGAGAGUCGGCACAUUUUUGGAGCUCUCGACACGUUUAAAGUUUCUGUAGUUUUCUAAUCCUGCUGAAAGACGGACAAAUGAGUCGAGAACAGGAGUUCAGAUGAAUGACUCUGUGUUUGCAUCUCUGGUACCUGUCGGUGAAUGUCUGCGGAUGAUCCAGAGCCCACUCAGCCAGGUAGAGGGCGCUCUCCCACGUCACCAGACCAGUGGUUCCCUGUGAGAUCAGAGCGACGUUCUCCAGCAGACUGAGCGCGUCGCCUCCAGGCUGCAGGACACAAACCAACAUGAUUUACAGAGUUCCAGCUUGUUCUUUAAUCAUUAGAAUACGUCUCUAUGCAGAUGAUACUCUCUUCUUCAUCAUAGUUCUAGAAUCAUUAAUCCAAUGUUAAUUGAUUACUAAAUUAUUCACCAAUUACUUUAAAUCAAUCAGUUGAUCUGUUUAAAUAAUUAAAACCAGUUUCUGUCAUU